rnacentral:rRNA from 1 species
GACGAACGCUGGCGGCGUGCUUAACACAUGCCAGUCGUACGGUAAGGCCCUUUCGGGGGUACAUGAGUGGCGAACGGGUGAGUAACACGUGAGUAACCUGCCCACAACUUUGGGAUAACGCUAGGAAACUGGUGCUAAUACUGGAUAUGUGCUCCUGCUGCAUGGUGGGGGUUGGAAAGCUCCGGCGGUUGUGGAUGGACUCGCGGCCUAUCAGCUUGUUGGUGGGGUAGUGGCCUACCAAGGCGGCGACGGGUAGCCGGCCUGAGAGGGUGACCGGCCACAUUGGGACUGAGAUACGGCCCAGACUCCUACGGGAGGCAGCAGUGGGGAAUAUUGCACAAUGGGCGCAAGCCUGAUGCAGCAACGCCGCGUGCGGGAUGACGGCCUUCGGGUUGGAAACCGCUUUCAGCAGGGACGAAGCUUUUUGUGACGGUACCUGCAGAAGAAGCACCGGCUAACUACGUG